rnacentral:rRNA from 1 species
UACAGAGGGUGCAAGCGUUGUUCGGAAUUACUGGGCGUAAAGCGUGCGCAGGCGGUUUCUUAAGUCAGAUGUGAAAGCCCCGGGCUUAACCUGGGAACUGCGUUUGAAACUGGGAGACUCGAGUGUAGCAGAGGGGGGUGGAAUUCCACGUGUAGCAGUGAAAUGCGUAGAUAUGUGGAGGAACACCGAUGGCGAAGGCAGCCCCCUGGGUUAACACUGACGCUCAUGCACGAAAGCGUGGGGAGCAAACAGG